rnacentral:rRNA from 1 species
GACGAACGCUGGCGGCGUGCUUAACACAUGCAAGUCGAACGAGACGAUUGAAAGCUUGCUUUUAAAAGUCGAGUGGCAAACGGGUGAGUAACGCGUAAACAACCUGCCUUUGAGAUGGGGACAACAGUUCGAAAGGACUGCUAAUACCGAAUGUUGUAUAUUUUCCACAUGGAAGAUAUAUUAAAGAUGGCCUCUAUUUAUAAGCUAUCGCUCAAAGAUGGUUCUGCGUCUGAUUAGCUGGUUGGUGGGGUAACGGCCUACCAAGGCGACGAUCAGUAGCCGGUCUGAGAGGAUGAACGGCCACAUUGGGACUGAGACACGGCCCAGACUCCUACGGGAGGCAGCAGUGGGGAAUCUUCCACAAUGGACGAAAGUCUGAUGGAGCAACGCCGCGUGAGUGAAGAAGGGUUUCGGCUCGUAAAGCUCUGUUGUCGGGGACGAAUGUGCAGUAUUUGAAUAAAGUACUGCAAUGACGGUACCUGACGAGGAAGCCACGGCUAACUACGUGCCAGCCGCCGCAGUAA